UACGGAGGGUGCAAGCGUUAAUCGGAAUUACUGGGCGUAAAGCGUGCGCAGGCGGUUUGUUAAGUCGGCUGUGAAAUCCCCGAGCUCAACUUGGGAAUUGCAGUGGAUACUGGCAGGCUGGAGUAUGGUAGAGGAAGGUGGAAUUCCCGGUGUAGCAGUGAAAUGCGUAGAGAUCGGGAGGACCACCAGUGGCGAAGGCGGCCUUCUGGACCAAUACUGACGCUCAUGCCCGAAAGCGUGGGGAGCAAACAGG
rnacentral:rRNA from 1 species